rnacentral:hammerhead_ribozyme from 1 species
AUCCGGCUGACGAGUUCCAAAUAGGAUGAAACAUGUGUAUCAAACUGGAU